AGUGACAUUUAGUACAUUCACAAUGUUGUGCAAACCAACAUUCUAUCUAGUUACAGGAUGUUUUCAUCACUCCAGAGGAAAUCAUUUGCCAUUAAGUAUUCACUUCUUAUUCCCCUCAUCCCACAGUUAGUAGUGUAUUGACUUAAAAUGAUUUUUGUGCUUUGAUCUUAAAAACUUUGCUGAAUUCGUUUACUAGCUCCUACAGUUUUCUGUUGUAUAUUCUUUAGGAUUUUUUUUUUAAAUGUGUCACAUCAUGUGAAUAGGUAUUUCUUCUUUUCCAAUUUGAAUGCCUUUUAUUUCUUUCUUUUGCAUAAUUGAUCUAGCUAGAAUUUCCAGUACAAUGCUGAAUAGCAAUGGUGAAAGCAGGCACCCUUGACUCAGGAGGAGAGUUUUUAAUCUUUCACUAUUAGGUAUGAUGUUAAUAUGGGUUUUUCAUAUGAUUUUUGUACCUCUAUUCAUAAGGACUGUUGGUUUAUUGUUUUCUCUGACUUUGGCUUCAGGGUGAUUCUGGCCUAAUAGAAUGAGUUAGGAAUUGUUCCUUCAUCUUCUUUUUUUUUUUUUUUUUUUCCCAGAGAUUGUGAAGCAUUGGUGUUAAUUCUUUAAAUAUUUCGUAGAAUUCACAAGGGAAGUCAUUUGGUUCUGGACUUCUUUGUUGGGAGCUUUGUCAUUGCUGAUUCAGUCUCUUGUUAUAGGUCUGUUGAAAUAUUUUAUUUCUUCUUCAGUCAGCUUGGUAAUUUAUAUGUUUCUAUGAACUUGUCCACUUCACAUAGGCUAUUUUGUUUGCUUAAAAUUGUUCACAUUAUUCUCUUAUAAUCUUUUGUAUUUCUGUAAGAUUGGUAGUAAUGGCCCCACGUUCAUUUCUGAUCUUAGUUAUUUUCAUUAUCUCUUGUUUCCUUAGUCUACCUAAAUGUUUGCCAGUGAAACAUUUUGCUAAUAUUUUCAAAGAACCAACUUUGGUUUCUUUGAUUCCGUUGUUUUUCUAUAUUCUAUUUUGUUUAUCUUCAGUCUAAUCUUUAUUAUUUUCUAUUUUUUUCUAACCAGAUUUGAGUUUAAUUUGCUCUUCGUUUUUUUCUGGUUUCUGAAAGUGUAAAAUUUGCUUAUUCAUUUGAGGUCUUUCUUUUUGGGUAUCAGUGUUGUAAAAGCUUCCCAGGUGAUUCUAAUAUUAAAAGACAAGAUUAAAAAUACUGUUGCGUUUGGAGAGAGACUAAGCUUAGCUUAUUUUUUGUAACCUUUAUCGCUCAUUAGAAACACCUGAAGAUAGUGCUGAAUUUGGUUUGAAAGUGUCAUUAUGAUAUUAUGCUGUAUUUUAUUUUUUUAAAAUGUGUCACUAACCUGAUAUAAAUGAGUAAUCUUAGCUCCCUGUCGUGGCUUCUGAAUUCCAUUUUGCACUGAAAGAAAACAAAGAUCCUUGUAGAAAUGGUUGAUUUCAGGUCGGAUACACAGAUGUACAUGACAGCUUAUCAGACCAGAAAGCAAGAGAGCUAUCAAAUACUGUUGGGUUAAAUCAAAUGGACUCAGGAACCAACUUGAAGAGGAUCCUGCUGAGUUGGAACAUUUUGCGUAUCAAAAGAAUAGUAACUGCAAUGGAUUGAAACAUAUAUAUUAUACUUGAAGCCAUAAGUUCAUAAUGACACAAACAUAUCUAAGUCAUUGGCCAUUUUCAGAGGGUGCUAGGAAAUAAAGUUAUUACUUCGAAGAACUUAUUUUGAAAAGUGAAAUUCAGGAUAAAGCAUUUAUUCUGCCUUUCCUAAUGAAUUAUAUUUUUGGAUAACCAAGUGGUUAUAUAAGUAUUCUAAUUAAUAACUAAAGAAGGACUGGUUGAUUUAUAGUAUCACCAUUUUGUAACUUCAAAUGAAUUAAUGCAUUUUUAAUGGCUGCUAGCAUCAAAAAAGAAUACCCAGACAGUAUGGGCUUCCUAUUAAGACUCUACAUUAAUUUGUAAAAAAAUAAAGUAAAAACUGAAUAUGAUAAAGUCUCUAGAUCACUAACUAACUUUCAAAAAAUACAAAGGGAUAGAGGAACAUGAUGACAUUACAAGGAGCAUAAUGACAUUGGCAAAAUCAGAUUGAGGAACAUUCCACAAGGCAAGCAACCUGAUUUAUUUAAUAAAUAAACUGUUAGGAAAAAAAUAAAAGUAAAUGGUAAGCUUGUGGAUUAAAAGAAUCUUGACAUGUAAACCAAUUAUAACAUACGGACUUUAGUUUUACCUAAUUCAAACAACUAUAAAAAAUAUACAUGAAUCAAUAAGAGGUAAAAUGGUGGAGUUGGGGUUUCUCUAGGAGAGGAGAAUAAUAAUAUUCUUUUAUGCAAUAAUAAUAAUUUUAUAAAAACAAUGCUACAAUGAUCAGUAGAUAUUUCAUAGUGGAAUAAAAGCUUAAUAGUAUUUUUAUUAAUUUUUUAUUUUAUUUUUAUUUUGUUUUUUAAAUUAUUGAUAUUUUUUCAUUAUAGUUGGUUUGCAGUGUUCUGUUUAUUUUCUACUAUAAAGUGACCCAGUCACACAGACAUAUAUACAUUCUUUUUCUUACAUUAUCCUCCAUCAUGCUCCAUCACAAAUAACUAGAUAUAGUUCCCAGUGCUAUACAUAGGAUCUCAUUGCUUACUCAUUCCAAAUGCAAAUGUUUGCAUCUAUUAACUCCAGAUUCCCAGCCCAUCCCACUCCAUCCCUCCCACCAUAAGUCUGUUCUCUAAGUUUGUGAGUUUCUUUUCUGUGGAAAGGUUUAUUUGUGCCAUAUAUUAGGUUCCAGAUAUAAGUCAUAUCAUUAUCUUUCUCUUUCUGACUUACUUCACUUAGGAUGAGAGACUCUGGUUCCAUCCAUGUUGCUGCAAAUGGCAGUAUUUUGUUCUUUUCUAUGACUGAGUAGUAUUCCAUCAUGUAUAUAUAUAUAUAUAUAUACCACAUCUUCUUAAUCCAUUCAUCUGUCAAUGGACAUUUAGGUUUCCAUGUCUUGGCUAUUGUGAAUAGUGCUGCAAUGAACAUAUGGGUGCAUGUAUCUUUUUCCAGGAAAGUUUUGUCCAGAUGUAUGCCCAAGAGUGGCAUUCCUGGGUCAUAUGGUAGUUCUAUAUUUAGUUUUCUGAGGUACCUCCAUGCUGUUUUCCAUAGUGGUUCUACCAAUUUACAUUCCCACCAAGAGUUCAGGAGGGUUCCCUUUUCUCCACACCCUCUCUAGCAUUUGUUAUUUGUGGACUUAAUGAUGGCUAUUCUGACUGGCGUGAGGUGGUAGUUCAUAGUAGUUUUGAUUGCACUUCUGUAAUAAUCAGUGAUGUUGAGCAUUUGUUCAUGUGCUUGUUGGCCAUCUGUAUAUCUUUUUUGGAGAAAUGUCUAUUCAGGUCUUUUGCCCAUUUUUCAGUUGGGCAUAGUAUUUUUAAAUUUGUUCAAACUAUUAUUACUUGAGAAUCAGACUAUGUACUAACCAAAGUGGUAGUAUUAACUCAGAUGAUAGGAGACUAUUGCCUAGAUUUUGCAGCAUUAAGCAAGUUUCUAUAAGCAAAAGAUCUACUUAUCAAAUUUAGCUCAACUAAAAGCUAAAGAAGAAAAGACGUGAAAAAACUAGAUUCCUUUCAACAUCAAUCUAGUGAGAGAGGAGGGGCAGAAACAUGCAGCAAGGUUAGACUGGGUCAAACAGCAAGAGUGCUAUCACAGGCCUUUUUCAAACUGCUCCCUUUAAGAAUAUUAGAGGUAAACUAGCUGGCUAUAAUGAAUUAUGGAUGUUCCCUCCUUAUCUAAAACUUUUGCAGUAUUUCAUCAAAUCUAAGAAUAAUUUUCAUGUCUCUGAUAUUGGAUAUGUUUUAUAGUCUUGUAAUGAUGGCAUCUUAAUUCACUGUCUUUUAGGGAAAAGUAGUAAUAUAAUUGUCAUUAUCACCACAGGCUGGCUCUUGGUUGUUUUUUCUGGUGAUAUGACUGAAAACCCUUGAUAUUUUAGUUACCAGGGCAUUUAGGGACUUUUCUCACUCAGUAACAGUGAAGAUUUUAUCAUCAGUCAAGUCCCUUAAAAGAUGUAGCUUUAACAAUUUUUGUUGUUAUUGUUGUUCAGAACUUUUAAGUAAAUUUUAGUCUUAUCUGAUAUACAUGCAUCCUAGGCACUGUUUGUCUUUGAAAGCCCUCAUUCUUUCAAACUUCUCUUUUAUUCCUGUAUGCUUGGUUUAUGCUUGGUUUGUGUUACUUGGUCUAAGUGAGGUUUGACCUAAUUCCUUUAGCCCUCAGUUCUGCAUUCUGGGAAUAUCUGCCUUGCUCAUUGUCUUCCAUUGCCACAAAUGAGAUGGGCAUUUGGCUUUUUUUUUUCCUUUUUUGUCUUUUAGGGCCACACCCACGGCACAUGGAGGUUCCCAGGCUAGGGGUCUAAUUGGAGCUAUAGCUGCCAGCCUACACCACAGCUCACAGCAAUGCCAGAUCCUUAACCCACUGAGUGAGGCCAGGGAUCGAACCCGCAAUCUCAUGUUUCAUGGUUGGAUUUGUUUCUGCUGUGCCACGACGGGAACUCUAAGAUGGGCGUUUGGGAAACUGCUCUUUGGAUGCUAUAUAUUUUCAGUGGUUCAUUUCAUGUUAGUAUACAUUCAUUUGGGCACCCAAGGAUUAAUUGGAGAUUGAACCGUCAUAGGCUGUUUUUAGUCAGGCUUGGAGUUUCUUUGAACAAAUUCCAUAAAAAUGGAAGAAUUUUAGUCAAUUUGCUUUUGGUUAGUUCCAUGGUAAAGGAGUAUAAUACACUGAAGAUAAAUCAUCAAAUAUUAGUAAUAUUUUAAAAAUCUGUUAUCUUGUUACUAUUUCUUUGAAACAAAUUGCACCAAAACU
rnacentral:lncRNA from 1 species